GGACUACCAGGGUUUCUAAUCCUGUUCGCUCCCCACGCUCUCGUGCCUCAGCGUCAGUCUCAUACCAGGUGGCCGCCUUCGCCACCGGCGUUCCUUCCGAUCUCUACGCAUUUCACCGCUACACCGGAAAUUCCGCCACCCUCUCAUGGACUCUAGUUCAACAGUUAGCGCUGCUCUUCCCAGGUUAAGCCCGGGGCUUUCACAGCACUCACAUCAAACCGCCUACGCACCCUUUACGCCCAGUAAUUCCGAUUAACGCUCGCACCCUCUGUAUUACCGCGGCUGCUGGCAC
rnacentral:rRNA from 1 species